CUUUCCUGUCUCUUGCCAUCCUUGGGUCUAAGCUGUCUGGCAUUUAGUUGUCGGGCAGUGGCUGCCCAUCGUUUACUGUGAAAAAAUUAGAGUGUUCAAAGCAGGCUUAUGCCGUUGAAUAUAUUAGCAUGGAAUAAUAAGAUAGGACCUUGGUACUAUUUUGUUGGUUUGCGCACCGAGGUAAUGAUUAAGAGGGACAGUUGGGGGUAUUCGUAUUCAAUUGUCAGAGGUGAAAUUCUUGGAUUUCUGGAAGACGAACUACUGCGAAAGCAUUUACCAAGGAUGUUUUCAUUAAUCAAGAACGAAAGUUAGGGGAUCGAAGAUGAUUAGAUACCAUCGUAGUCUUAACCAUAAACUAUGCCGACUAGGGAUUUGUGG
rnacentral:rRNA from 1 species